rnacentral:rRNA from 1 species
UGCAAGUCGAGCGGGGGAAGGUAGCUUGCUACUGGACCUAGCGGCGGACGGGUGAGUAAUACUUAGGAAUCUGCCUAUUAGUGGGGGACAACGUUUCGAAAGGGACGCUAAUACCGCAUACGCCCUACGGGGGAAAGCAGGGGAUCAUUUGACCUUGCGCUAAUAGAUGAGCCUAAGUCGGAUUAGCUAGUUGGUGGGGUAAAGGCCUACCAAGGCGACGAUCUGUAGCGGGUCUGAGAGGAUGAUCCGCCACACUGGGACUGAGACACGGCCCAGACUCCUACGGGAGGCAGCAGUGGGGAAUAUUGGACAAUGGGGGGAACCCUGAUCCAGCCAUGCCGCGUGUGUGAAGAAGGCCUUAUGGUUGUAAAGCACUUUAAGCGAGGAGGAGGCUACUUUGGUUAAUACCUAAAGAUAGUGGACGUUACUCGCAGAAUAAGCACCGGCUAACUCUGUGCCAGCAGCCGCGGUAAUACAGAGGGUGCGAGCGUUAAUCGGAUUUACUGGGCGUAAAGCGUACGUAGGCGGCUUUUUAAGUCGGAUGUGAAAUCCCUGAGCUUAACUUAGGAAUUGCAUUCGAUACUGGGAAGCUAGAGUAUGGGAGAGGAUGGUAGAAUUCCAGGUGUAGCGGUGAAAUGCGUAGAGAUCUGGAGGAAUACCGAUGGCGAAGGCAGCCAUCUGGCCUAAUACUGACGCUGAGGUACGAAAGCAUGGGGAGCAAACAGGAUUAGAUACCCUGGUAGUCCAUGCCGUAAACGAUGUCUACUAGCCGUUGGGGCCUUUGAGGCUUUAGUGGCGCAGCUAACGCGAUAAGUAGACCGCCUGGGGAGUACGGUCGCAAGACUAAAACUCAAAUGAAUUGACGGGGGCCCGCACAAGCGGUGGAGCAUGUGGUUUAAUUCGAUGCAACGCGAAGAACCUUACCUGGUCUUGACAUAGUAAGAACUUUCCAGAGAUGGAUUGGUGCCUUCGGGAACUUACAUACAGGUGCUGCAUGGCUGUCGUCAGCUCGUGUCGUGAGAUGUUGGGUUAAGUCCCGCAACGAG